UGUUAAAAAAAAGAAUAUUGAUAUAUUUUUAUAGUAAAACAUUAGCCUAUUACAGGAAUCGAACC
rnacentral:tRNA from 1 species